rnacentral:lncRNA from 1 species
ACUGGGCCUCAGCUGGAAGUUUCUUCUGCUUGUCUCUCAUAGGCCUGCAGUCAGAUGGCUGGACAUCCAGGAUAAGUCUGUUCACAUGACUGGUGCCUUGCUGGGCUUGGCUAGAAGGCUGGGGCCCUCUUAUUCAAUUCAUGUGGUCUUUCCAUGUGGCUAGCUUGAGCUUCUUUACAGCAUGGCAGCUGGCUCCAAGAGCAAGCAUUCCAAGAGGAUCAGCCCCACUUUGCCAGCAGAGAUGGACUGCUUCCUGAAAACUCUGCCUCCUCAGCUUCUCUGAAUCAACCCAAGUCCACGACUGCUUCUGCUGCCCAUCCUAGGACCUCCAGUUCCUUCCCCAGCCAGAGCAAACAAGGGGCAGGCAGAUUCCUCGUACUCCCAUGGUGACGAUGAUGAUGGCAGCCAUCACUGUGGCCAUUCUACAGGUGGAGAAACAAGGACUCAGAGAAGCUUACCCGGAUUUCCCAAGGGAGACCCAGAUCCUGCUUCUGCUGGCCUCCUCCUGGAAAAUGAUCAUUUGACAAAUAGAAAUCUCCAAAUUGCUUUGAUUUGGUGUGUUUCCUCAGAACUCUGGAACAGAUAUUGAUGGUUUCCUCUGGAAGAAGAGAAAAGUGAGAAAUCAGCUCACUUUAAGAUAAAUUAAGUCUUUAAGCUUGGUGUGAAAAAUGACACCCGGGACACAUACCCAGCCGGGAAUUUGUGAUGGCACAGGCCCGUGCUGACUGCCUUGAGAGCAAGCAAAAUGUUAUCAGGAAGACAGAGAUGCAUCUGUGCCCAGUCUGUUCAGAAUUUUAAGCACCAAUGUCAAUUGCACUUCAGACUGAUAAAGAGAAUAAUCCUCAUCAGUUUGUCAUUGGCCCUUGUCUCUGGGUUAUUCCUCCAGGGGUCUGUGGCAACCUCGGAUGGUGUAUUAGUCAGGUCCUCAACAGAAGCAGAACCAAUAGGAUGCAUGUGUAUAUUACAUUAUUACCUCUCCAUAGAUGGAUGGAUGGAUAGAUAGAUAAUAUAUCCCUAUAUCUACAUAUCCAUCUAGAGAGAGAUUUACCUUAAGAAAUUGGCUCACAGGGUUGUGGGGCUGCUAAGUCCAAAAGCUGCAGGGCAGGCUGGCUGGCUGGAGACCGAGGGAAGAGCUGAUGCUGCAGAUCAAGUCUGAAGCCAGAGAAGGUUGGCAGAAUUCUUCGUCCUCGGGGGACCUCAGUCUUUUUUCUUCUAAGACCUUCAACUGACUGGAUGAGGUCCAUGCCUGUUAUGGAGGGUAAUCUGCUUUACUCAAAUCCUACUGAUGUAAAUGUUAACCUCAUGUAAAAA